UGGUGGAGUGAUUUGUCUGGUUAAUUCCGAUAACGAACGAGACUCUUUCCUGCUAAAUAGUUCUUCAACAUUUGUUGCAUUACGUGACUUUAGUUGAGGAAAACUUCUUAGAGGGAUUCGCGAUACAAAAUCGCACGAAAUAGAGCAAUAACA
rnacentral:rRNA from 1 species